rnacentral:misc_RNA from 1 species
AAGUCGUAACAAGGUAUCCGUAGGUGAACCUGCGGAUGGAUCAUUAACACAUCCAAAAAAAAACACUUUGUCAUGCCCGCCGUUUUGCCAUUCUUUUGUGGCGAACGGUGUGUGUGUGGCAAUUUCAAACCCAAACAUUGCGAACUUGUCAACGGGUGUGAGAGCUUGCUCUCUUUCAUCCGUUCGUUUUUUUCUUCUCUUCUAUCAAUCUUUUAUUAUUAUUCAACACAUUUCCUUCAUUGGAUAUGGCACUCAAUCAAAUUAGACUAAGAAACAAAAGUUAUUAUCACACUUUGUGAUAGUGACGAAAAAAAACACUAACAAAAAAAUACAACUCUUAACAACGGAUAUCUUGGCUCUC